rnacentral:tRNA from 1 species
GGAGAGGUCAUGGCUCAGUGGGAGAGCAUUUGCUUAGCAUACAGAAAGGACUAGGGUCAAUCUCUGGCAUCUCCA